AGGCCUGGGCUGGGACAGCUUGUUCCUCCCAGAAGCUACAAGAGGCCAGACUGGGAGCACAGGGGCUUUCCUACCGCCUGAGCCCCUGACUGGGCACCCAGCCCUGGGCCCUGCCCCCGCCCCCUUCCAGCACCCUGCAGGUACUGCUUGGGAAGUGUGCAUGUUUUAGCUCAUGCCCUGAGCUCAGGCUCCUGCCACAGGGAGACUCCAUCCAGCUCUGACUCCUGUCCAAAGGGCAUGCUCCCAAUUAUCUCAAUUGCUCCAACCAGUUCUGGCCAAACUGCCAACUCCUACAGGGAAUCCCUCCUGCUCACCCUCCCACUCUGGGGCAGCUUGGCAGGCGGCCAGCCACUGGAGCCAAUCAGCUGCCAGCCUCCAAGGAAACCCAGGUCCACAGGCAGACUCCAGACCCCCAUGGAGCUGUCGUGAAGAUGCUUUACCUCCUAGGAAGCCCCAGCUGGAAGCCCUUACCCACGGUGGUACAGCAGGAGAGAGGAGCCAGAGGUGGCAGGAUAUAAAGAGAGGUUGAAGACUAUGACAUAUAGCCUUGGGGACAUAGUUAAAACAAAAUCUACCUUUCUACAAUCGAUACAAGUGUAUUUUUAAAGCAGCGAAGCUGCAGGAACACGAACUACUCUCACACUCACCAAUGGAAGUACACAUUGCCCCAACUUCUACGGAGGACAACUUGGCGAUACUACUCAUAGUUACAAAUGUGUACCACCUUUGAUGCCACAAAACAACUUUUGGGAACCUAUUCUAUACACAUCCCUGCACAGCUACAAAAUGGAAUAUGUGCCUAAUUAUUCAAGGCACCAAAAGCCUCAAAACAACUCACAUCCUUCCAUGGGGGCCUGUUAAUAAUAAGUCAAUUCUGGAACGCCCAUAUAAUGGAAUACUCUGAACAAGUGGAAUGGAUUCCUUCUGAACUGACAGGGGGAGAUCUCUAAAGUGGUACUGUUGAGGGAAGAAAGUGAGGUUUGGAGCAGAAUGUGUAAAAUAGAAUAAAUGGUGUGUGUACACCUAUGUAUCUGCGCAUUUGUGCAGAAACAUACAUAAGAAAGUCAGAACGGAGAUGACCUGGUGACGGAGGGCUGGGAGGCUGGAGGGAAAUCUUGAAAACGGCUUCAAUUUCUUGGAUUUCAAAACACGCUAACAUAUUUAUUACCUAUUCAAAAAAUCAAAAACAAGAAUCCACAGCAAAUUAGGAAACACUAGACACAAAUAAUGCAAAAUUUCAAACAGGAGUUGAAGGAACAAUAUUCUAUGCCUUCCUGGCCAGGCACACUCACAUCACAUGGGGCCUGGCAUAUCCCUCAGCAUAUUCCAAAUGCAAUCCUGAAAGCUCCCCUUAAAAUAGAUC